rnacentral:rRNA from 1 species
CAGCAGCCGCGGUAAUGCGUAGGUGGCAAGCGUUGUCCGGAAUUAUUGGGCGUAAAGGGCUCGUAGGCGGCUUCUUAAGUCUGAUGUGAAAGCCCCCGGCUCAACCGGGGAGGGUCAUUGGAAACUGGGAAACUUGAGUGCAGAAGAGGAGAGUGGAAUUCCACGUGUAGCGGUGAAAUGCGUAGAGAUGUGGAGGAACACCAGUGGCGAAGGCGACUCUCUGGUCUGUAACUGACGCUGAGGAGCGAAAGCGUGGGGAGCGAACAGGAUUAGAUACCCCUGUAGUCCCUGUCUCUUAUAC